ACAGAAGAUUUUCUGAUGUCGGUUUAUCCUAAAUUUGCUCAAAUCCUGGGUAUAAUUCUGUGUUGGGGUGGGGGGGCGUGUAAUUCUAGUCGUUGAACUACUUUUCUGUAAUUGCAUUUGCCCACAGCUAGCUGUCUAAUCUGCCUCUCCCCAAAUCCCUACCAAUCCUGUUGGAAUCCACUUAUAGCUGCAUAUGCAGGAAGGGACCAAAUCUGCAGGACCAGGGAUGGGGCAGGGCCCAGGGAUGCUUGUGUCCCAGCUGUCCCACUCCACUGCAACAGAGCCAAUGUGGCAUCAGCAGGAACCAUCUGCUUGCUGCAACACCAGCAUCAUACCUACAAGGCACUCGUGUUACAUCUUGCCCCUCUUUUUUCAGCACAGGGAGCUGAAUCAUAACCUUUGUCCAUUGCGGGAACUUCCUCUCCUCCUCUCACCAUCUUCUUGUAUUCUGUUGGAGUGUGUCCAGAGGAGGGCCACAAAAACGGUCCAAGGGAUGGGAACACCUCCCUGUGAGGAUAGGCUGAGUGAGCUGGGGCUGUUCAACCUGGGGAAGGGUAUGGGGAAGCCUGAGAGCGGCCUGUCAGUACCUUGUGUGGGGCUAGAGGAAAGAAGAGGGCAGGCUCUUCAGCAGGGCCUGUUAUGAUAGGAAAAGGGGAAAUGGUUUCAAAGUAAAAGAGGGAACAUCUAGGUUGGGUAUAAGGAAGAAGAUUUUUACACUAGGACUGGUGAGUCACUGGCACAGGAUGCCCAGAGAGGUGGUGGAUGUCCCAUCCUUGGAGGCAUUCAACGUCAGGCUGGACGGGGCUUGGAGCACCUGAUUGAGCUGUAGGUGUCCCUGCUUACUGCAAGGCAGUUGGAUUAGAUGGCCUUAAGGGUCUCUUCCAACUCAAACCAUUCUAUGAAAUAGAUAACACACCUAAGAGAGUUCUUACACUGGAGGUGUUGAAGAACUAUGGAGAUGUGGCACCGAGGAAUGUGGUUAGUGGGCGUGGUAGGGAUGGAUUGGUGGUUGGGCGUGAUGAUCUUAGUAGGCCUUUCCAACCUUAAUGAUUCUGUGGUUCUAUGUAAAACUGGCCAAUGAGUGGGCUCUGCAAACAAGAGCUGUGCUUCAUAGGGAGCUCACUCUCACAGCUCCUCCAUGUUGCCCCUUUCUCAGUGCAGGAAGCCAUCAGCAGCACUUGCAGGCUGCCAGCUCUUCCUGCUUUGUUUCAAGCACAACUUAAAGGCUCUCCAAAUGAAGUAAUCUUCAUUUUUGACAGCCACAACCCAGCAGGAAAGGACACAACAGCUCUCCUUGAAUUGCACAGCUGCCGUUUUGCAUUUUUGAGUUUGGUACCCGGGGAAUUAGAAAUGUCAGUAGUUCCAUUUAGUUUUCCUAUGGUAAUAUUAAAGUCUUCCAGCUGUGGGGGUAAUUUCAAGUCAAAAACAAACAAACAAAAGAGUUGAAUCACAGUUUCGUGAUCCUGUGAUCCCCCUAUAGGAAAAACCAAACCUUGCCUACACUGAAACAUUCAAGGUGUUUCAAGGAUAGUGUCAGAAAAACUUCCAUUGCGGGAUCAGACAUCUCCCAGGGCAGGGGAGGAAGAGGUGUUCCAGCUGACCCAAAGCUGAGGUCUGCUCAAUAUACAUCAUUUUCGUGUUCCUACUUCAGUCUGUUUUCCUUUUCAGCACCGCCCUUUUGAUGCUUUUCCCUUAUAACUGCUUUGGACCAUGGAAAACCAGACACAGGCGGAGGCUUCUCGCUGCCCCUUCCUGCUUGGACAUUCAGAUGAGAGUCAGGUUGGAGGUGUGAGUGGGGUUUGAUGCAGGGGUAGAAGAUGACUGCUGGGACAGAAAUUGCAAAGAGAUGUGAAAUCUGGAGCUCUGAAGGCUCUGCCUGCUAUUAUCAAGGUGAACCCAGGGCUGUGAGCCUGCAGCACGGUGGGCAACAGCAAGGACAAAUAUAGUGCUACAUGUUAUGCAGAGGCAGUUUUCAAGCACGGUUGGAAUGAGCGACUUUGGAGGCAAAUCGCUACCGCUCGUCUUUGCCUUUAGUUUUGGGCUUUUAUUUCCUUAUUUCCUCUUGUGGAGAUGACACAUCUCUGACAGCUGUUGCAUCUCGGAGCCAUAACAGCCCACAUAGCAACUGCCCUGACACUGGCCCUGUCCUCAGAGCUGUGACAGGCAGCCAGCAGAGCACCACUGCGCUGCAAAGGGCUGGAGCCCAGCAUGAUGCCCAUCCUGAAGCCUGUAUGAGGUGAAAUCCUCUUGGGAGCACCUGGUACAUGAUACCUUGGCUGUGGUGGAGCUCAGUGUAGAGCCAGGAGCCCAGCAAAGGGCCAUGGGCUUACCUGGACCAAGAGAAGAGGUAGGACCCUGGGCAGGGUUCUACCAGCAAGUGCUGCCCGUUGUGGGGCAAUGAGAAUAGCCAUGGCUCUUCCAAACAUGACCAGUGGGGAAAGAUAGGUUGAGCUGGGAUUAAAAAAGAUGCCAACUGUUUGAAGAAAGGUGGAAACUGAAUACUAGAAAGACCUUUCCUGCGGUAAGCAAAGGCCAUACUAGACUGCCUGGAGAUCUCUCUAGCACAUCUGUCUAGGAGUUGGUCAGACAAUACCUGUCCACAAAGACAUAUAACACAGGCAAUUGUCUCUCUUGGCAGACUGACUGCUCGGUCUUACAUCAAGCCUGGAUGCUUUUCUUCCCAUCUAAUUUAUGCAUUGAGAAGUGCAAUGAAAGCCCCAGUAUGAAAGUCAUAGAACAUUUUUGCCUGCAGUCAAAAAGGCUGCAAGGAUAUGGAGUUGCUCAGAAAAAAAAAAUCAUUUUCCUUUGUUUCCUGGACAAGCACGGUGCCAAAUGCAUGGGAGAGCAUUCUUCUCCACCACACCACUCGUGUCUGACUUCCAGAAAAUCAAUCAAAUGAGACAAAACUGAAGCAAGCAGAUCAAUCUAUAACAGAGUGGUUGUCUCAGUCUUUGAUGAAAUAAAAAAUAAAAAAUGCAGCCAUUGCCUUCCCUGAAAAGUAACAGCAAGCAUCAUCCACCUGCACUGCUGUUUUCAUUCCUGGUGGAGAAGCAGACCCAGUGCUCCCAGUUUUCCUUUGAAUGGGCUGCAAAGCAAAGCAAUCAGGCACACAAGAAUAAGCGGUUCAUCCAAGCACAAUAGCCGGCAGAAGAGCUGUUGUAAGCAAGGUCAGCGCUCCCACUUCUGUGGGGCUUUGAUUGUUCAGCUCAUCUGACAGCAGUGCCAAGGCUGUGAGCAGGACAAUGUGCCACGCAUCCACGUGCCCCGCUGUUCAGAGCUGAGAUUUAGUUCCCAGGAAUAAGUGUGAAAAC
rnacentral:lncRNA from 1 species